AAAAAUGUUGAGCCAAUAAGGGAUAGCCAGCUGUCCAGGUGAUUAAAAGAGAUGCCUUGUAGGCUGGGAAUAAUUUCCAAGGCUAUUAUUGAGCACAUGGCCUUAAAGGCCUAUAAAUCUGGUCCUUCCUUCACUCUAUGAUUAUAUUUUUCAAGCAUAUUUCCCUAUAAAAAAGAAGUAAAAACAAAACAGAUUCUGAACCUAAAAAAAGAACAAAAAGGUUUUCUACAUUGGUUAGCUGAAGAUUUUUUUGAUUUUUAGAAGAAAACUAGAAGAAACCUUUGAAAUUUUGAACUCAAAAGGGUUGAAGCAUGGCUUAGUUUUGGAAAUUGUCGUUGUUCUGUUUGUUGUGAUACUUACAUUGCUACUGUUGAAUCCUUACUCUCUUUGACUUCUUUUGAAACACAUGUAUUCCUUGGAUCUUGAGUAAUAUGUGAAGUGCAAAUCUAAAACUAUGUAAACGAGUUAGAGAUUUAAGAAUGAAUGUUAACUUGCUGAAUAUUAGCUCAUGUUCUUUAGAGUUCAUCGAUGUUUUCUAUAUUAAGUUAGCAUUAUUGUAUGGUUUCCUGUAUUCAUUCAUGCCAUUAUUGUUUAUAAUUCAUUUCAAGGUUGGAUUGGAUUUCAGCUUAUCAUGUUGCUUUUGGUUUGGUUAAACUCUUUCCAUCAAGUAUAUGGUGUUUGGGCUGUUGUAGUAUAGGUUUAGUUUAGAUGAGGAACAUCUCCUAUUGUAUUUUGUUUAAAUUUGUUUGCGUUAGUAGUGAUGUUCAGUCCAAGGUUAACUCCAAUCAUGGUUUUGUUGUUUUAGAUUUUGACUUUGAGCAGCUGAAUGAGUUCAUGAGCCAUUGUUGCCAUUUAAUACUUAACCUAAAUAUAUGGAGUGUCCCUAUUCAUGAGUCAUUAUUGUCAUUGUAAUACUUAACCUAAAUGUCUGGAGUGUCUCAACUAUUAGAAUCACUACAUGUGCAAGUUCAGUAGUAGCUGAUAGUAGUCUUAAUUUUUAAUGCAUGUGGCAUGCGAAUUGUUGACUGUAUGGUGCUUAAAUUUUCUAUAGCUUGGAUAUAAGUUAGAUGAUAAACGUCUUCUAUUUGCUUUGAUGAAAUUGGUUUAGAUUAGUUCUUGAAUUUAUCAUGGCAUAUCAAAUAAUUGAAGGGCUGCAGAACACGGUAUUCUAAAUGGUCAAGAUGCUUAAUAGCAUCCUUUAAAGACGGCAUGGCCUGUUAAAUAG
rnacentral:lncRNA from 1 species